rnacentral:rRNA from 1 species
UACGUAGGGUGCGAGCGUUUGUCCGGAAUUACUGGGCGUAAAGAGCUCGUAGGUGGUUUGUCGCGUUGUUCGUGAAAACUCACAGCUUAACUGUGGGCGUGCGGGCGAUACGGGCAGACUGGAGUACUGCAGGGGAGACUGGAAUUCCUGGUGUAGCGGUGGAAUGCGCAGAUAUCAGGAGGAACACCGGUGGCGAAGGCGGGGUCUCUGGGCAGUAACUGACGCUGGAGAAGCGAAAAGCAUGGGGGAGCGAACAGG